rnacentral:tRNA from 1 species
GGCUUCAUUGUGUAGUGGUUAGCACGCUCGACGCGUAACCGAGAGGUCCGUGGUUCAAUUCCCGAUGAAGGCA